AGAUACCCGGGUAGUCCACGCCGUAAACGAUGUCUACUAGCUGUUGCCUUGCUAUUUUAUAGCAAGGUUGUGGCGUAGCUAACGCGAUAAGUAGAUCGCCUGGGGAGUACGGCCGCAAGGUUAAAACUCAAAUGAAUUGGCGGGGACCCGCACAAGCGGUGGAGCAUGUGGUUUAAUUCGAUGCAACGCGAAGAACCUUACCUACUCUUGACAUCUUCGGAAGAUCUUGUAAUGAGAUUGUGCCUUCGGGAACCGGAUGACAGGUGCUGCAUGGCCGCCGUCAG
rnacentral:rRNA from 1 species